GACGAACGCUGGCGGCGCGCUUAACACAUGCAAGUCGAGCGAGAACCAGCCCUUCGGGGCUGGGGAGAGCGGCGAACGGGUGAGUAACACGUGGGUAAUCAACCCUCGGUACUGGGAUAGCCCGGGGAAACCCGGAUUAAUACCGGAUGGCCCUUCGAAUCCCCGGAUCUGAAGGAAAAGGUCGCUUCGGCCUCCGACCGAGGACGAGCCCGCGGCGGAUUAGCUUGUUGGUGGGGUAACGGCCUACCAAGGCGACGAUCGGUAGCUGGUCUGAGAGGACGAUCAGCCACACUGGGACUGAGACACGGCCCAGACUUCUACGGAAGGCAGCAGUGGGGAAUCUUGCGCUAAUGCGGGAAACCGUGACGCAGCGACGCCGCGUGGGGGAAGAAGGCCUUCGGGUUGUAAACCUCUUUCAGGAGGGACGAAGCUACUCGGGUUAAUAGCCCAGAGGGUGACGGUACCUCCAGAAGAAGCCCCGGCUAACUACGUGCCAGCCGCCGCGGUAA
rnacentral:rRNA from 1 species